rnacentral:rRNA from 1 species
UGGGGGAUAUUGCACAAUGGGGGAAACCCUGAUGCAGCGACGCCGCGUGGAGGAAGAAGGUUUUCGGAUUGUAAACUCCUGUCGUUAGGGACGAUAAUGACGGUACCUAACAAGAAAGCACCGGCUAACUACGUGCCAGCAGCCGCGGUAAAACGUAGGGUGCAAGCGUUGUCCGGAAUUACUGGGUGUAAAGGGAGCGCAGGCGGGAAGACAAGUUGGAAGUGAAAACCAUGGGCUCAACCCAUGAAUUGCUUUCAAAACUGUUUUUCUUGAGUAGUGCAGAGGUAGAUGGAAUUCCCGGUGUAGCGGUGGAAUGCGUAGAUAUCGGGAGGAACACCAGUGGCGAAGGCGGUCUACUGGGGCACCAACUGACGCUGAGGCUCGAAAGCAUGGGUAGCAAACAGGAUUAGAUACCCUGGUAGU